rnacentral:lncRNA from 1 species
ACUCCAUCCCCACGACAACCAGUCCCUUCCGAGUGAGGUCAUAACUCGUUGGUUUGGAGAAGAACCAGAGAAUGAUCAUCCUAUCCCCUUGAAUGAUCACCAUGAUUAAUACCUUUCGUAUGAUGCUAACUCCGAACCAGAGGUUGAGUACCUACCCUAAGCAGCUCCCUUUCCAAUUCCUAACCCUCGUCCGGCUUUUCAUGGCCCGACCCCCCUGAGUGAGUGGAAUGCUUGGAAACAUGGAGCCAAGGACAAGAUCAGCCCAUGUCAUUUAAUGGCGACCGAAGCUUUUGCGACUUGAACAAUGGGGGCUCAGCAGAUAGAGUCUUGCAAAUCUUGGUCCACAGAGUGACCCGAAAUGAGAUUCAAGGCAGGACAGCCCUACAUCAGAUUACCGAAGUUGUCGCCAAUGCGAGAAUGCAUACCCUCCGCACCAUUCGUCUAGAAGAUGCUCNCAGGACAGCCCUACAUCAGAUUAUCGAAGUUGUCGCCAAUGCGAGAAUGCAUAACCUCCACACCAUUC